rnacentral:rRNA from 1 species
UACGUAGGGCGCAAGCGUUGUCCGGAAUUAUUGGGCGUAAAGAGCUCGUAGGUGGCUUGUCACGUCGGGUGUGAAAGCUUGGGGCUUAACUCCAGGUCUGCAUUCGAUACGGGCUGGCUAGAGGUAGGUAGGGGAGAACGGAAUUCCUGGUGUAGCGGUGAAAUGCGCAGAUAUCAGGAGGAACACCGGUGGCGAAGGCGGGUCUCUGGGCCGAUACUGACACUGAGGAGCGAAAGCGUGGGGAGCGAACAGG